AAUGGCAAGCUGAGCAUUUCGUUUCGCAGAGUUGUAUGUGAGAGCAAGGAAUGACAACUCUGCGUGGAGACGGCGUAACUCGUGUACAAAACACCGUUUUCACCUCUCUUGAUCAGCAGACGAUUUAUUGCUUAAAUCUGCAUGAAUCCGGAGAUAGCCGAUGCAGCACGAUUGCGUUUUCACUUACAAAUGAGACGUUAAACACGUAAAAGUCUGCUUCAAGUAAAGGUAGCAGUACACGGUUCGUUUUUUUCUGAAUUGAGCGUGGUGGAGAUCAAGAAGGCGUCCGCGGCUCCAAGAGAGUGUGUGUCUACUGUGGUCUGCUACCAAAGUACACUGGAUUCUAUAGUGAGAAUGUGGCAGCCAGCCAUAGAGUACUGCUUUAAGAAGUCGGAUGUAGUGACUAAACUGGCACUACAUGGGCUUUUGAAUGCAGAAAGACUGCCAGAUUAAUUGAACUGUACGACAUAAAGCCAUCCCAAGACGCAUCAAUUGAGAUGUUCAACAUUUUGUACAAGAAACGUGUUCCGGCGAAAAAAUGGAAUAUAUUUGUUGACGCCAUGAAAGAAUCAGGUUACGAUUUUGCGGAGUCUCGCCUGAUAAACGAAAGAGUUGAAAUUCCUGAGGAAAGAGAACGAGUAAGGCAACUCCUUUUGUUGUUUGGACCGUACUUAGAAAAAGAUAUAAACCCUUUGCUUCUCAUAACGGGACUGCUAGCUUGCAGCGUUAUCAAGAAAGAAGACGCAGAUAAAAUAGAAAAUACAACUCACAAGUCCAAAGCAGAAGGAAUGAGAAAUUUAUUGCAGCGUAUCCAAUGUUACUUGGAACCACACGAGUGGUGGCAAAUAUUUCUAAACGUAUUGUGGGAAACUUAAUUUGAGCACAUAGCAUUGUUAUUGGAACCUGAAUAUUUCCCUACGUCAAAGAAAUUAGGUAAAUACUCGCUUCUGCGCCAGAAGUUACAUAUAAAUACAGUAUUAACAUAUACUGAAUUGAAAAAACUUGACUGAAUUACCAUUUAACUGAAGUUAAACUAAAUUCGGAAUUUAAAUAUAGAUAUUGAAUGACGCAAAACAAGUUUCAUGUACAAAUACGCUGUACAGUUCUGUUUUACAUGACAAAUACAUGCUGAUAUAACAGGACCUAUUGAUGCACCCGAAGUCGUCAUAGGUCAUGCUGAUAUGCAAGAACACGUUUUGGAAGACCAGGUAGAUGCAGAACACGACAAUGACUUAAAUGCUCCUCCUAUACCAGCUCGAUCGUAUUCGUUAGGGGCAUUUGAAGACGAUGAGUCGUCAUAUACAGGACAGGAUACAGGAGCUAUGACCAGCACCGCUGAUGACAUCAAUACCAUUCUUAAUGAUAAUUUUAAAGAACUCAACAUUAAACCGGAAAGAAUGAAAUCUGUAGAUGACGCCGCACGUGAAUCUGAUGCGGAUUCUUUUGAAUCAAAUGUAUGGGAUUCCGAACAUUGCGGAAGCGACUUCGAUGAAAUCGAGGAAAAGCAAGGUAAGACUAUAUAUACAAAACAUGCCAGCGCUCAAUAACAAUAUAAUAUGUUACGUAAUUGUCACUUUAAUCUUUAAUUAUUUAUAUAAAGUACCGUUCCAUAAAUCAAGGACCUCGUCCUAAAAUAAGAUAUCCCUCUUAUGUAUUAUUAAAAUCUAUUAUGCUAUUUAUAUAUUCAAACGAUGAAGUUGUUAAAGAAUAAUUAUUCCAACAAUGGCUUUUUUAGACAUGAAAUCCAUUAUCUUGUUAUAAAAAAGAUAUAACUGAAAUAUAUCGAGCCUGACAAUCUCUUACAGUAGAGUAAGCGAUUGUGUUCCGCAAGGUUGCGAUUAAUAGCGAUUUCGUUUAUAACCGUUUUAAACCGUUUUAAGGCUUUGUUUGCGAUUGUUUUCGCUUAUUUUAUUGCACAUGCGUAGCGAUGACAACCGAUGAAAAGACGGGGCUUAUUUGCACUACAUUUAGAUAUGUCCUAUUUACAGAUUUACAGCACGCCGUAAACGAAUGCGAAAAAAGAAAACCCGCGUGUGUGUUUUUUUCAAAUGCGCGCUAGACACAUUUUUUGUAAACGUAUAAGUCUGUGUUGUUGUUGUUAAUUAAUAGUGUAAGGUAUACUUACGUUCAAGGUAGGGUACUGUAUUCUACUAUUCCGAAAAUUCAGUCAUUGCGAAAUUUUCGGCGACAAGAUGCCGCAUCGGACAAAGCAUAUUGAUACAACAAUUGGAAUGUUUAGAGUGCUGGGUGCAACUCCGUUGUAAUUGCUUAACACUUGAGACUUCAUCAUUCUUAUGUUAUAACUUACCGUGGUGUACGAAAUAUUCUUUUAAAGUGUAAUGGGAAUAACGUCGACCGUCGUCCGCGAAAUCAGGUGAAAAAGUGAAAAGAGAGCAUGUCAAUGUUUUGGUUUUUUAUAUAGACAUAACGAGUUGUCAGCUUCGGUUGUGCAAAAAAAGAUUAACUAUGUUAUUGGUGUGCAUAUGCCUCAAUCGACAGUCAAAAUGAUUAGGAGGCAAAUUUGAUAGACCUGUAAACAAUCGGCAUAUUGCCAAAUGAUUAGUAUGAAGAACAGCCAGGUCAGACAGUAGUUCGCUAUCGAAAUAAUGAGAACAAAAAAGGAUUUCAUGAUGUAGUAUUCACUGGUGAGUUUUUGAAAUUUUAUUGAUUAGAAAAGGUGGCAUUUUUCCUCUUUAGUUAUGUCUUUAAAUGCAUGGUAUAGUAUACAUCAAACUCAUAUUGUUUAACGUCAAUUUGCUGAAGCAUCGUUCUGACAUGAAAUCAUAUCGAAGCUUUAACGGCUAAAACUUCAUAUAACAGCGCAAAAUCUUAAUGGAACAGUUAUUAAAUAUAAAAAUAUAAACAUUAUUUUACUAAUAUUGCAUUAGAAGAUGUUUAAAAACUUACAAGUAAUGCUUUUCUGGAUAUGAAAACACAAUCCCGGUACCGCUUGUACAAUAUUGCAUUGUGUUUUAAAAGCUGCAGUGUUACGUCAUUGGUUGGUUAUAAAUAACUUGUUUCUCUAUACAUAGGAUUGGAUUUAGACGAAAUUAAAAUACCAGGGUAUUAUCGAUUAAAGAUUAUUUUAUUAUGUUGCCAUGUGUAUUUAUUAAUAUUAAUUUUGUCAUAAGUAUGUGUGCGUUGAAGAAAGAAUUAUAAUAUGUAGCCCUUUUGUUAACUGAUUUUAGCAAAAGAUAAGAACCUGCAUAAACAGUAUAUUUUCGUUCGAAGUAAUUCUAUAAUUGAGAGUAGCAUACAAAUAAAAUUUGUGUUGUGCUAAUAUCUAUUUUCAAAAUGUACAAAAAGUGAUAUUCUGACAUAAUUUCACACUUUUAGGAGGUAAUCGUCGUCAUUUGUGUUAAACUAAUGAUAAUUGUGCGUGUUGGCAAAGAUUAAAUAAGGAAAACUGAAAUAUAAUUUGAAAUCAAUUUGCUACAGGAAAACGACGUUUACUGUUUAGACAUAAUCGGUAGAUUACGUCUUAUUAUUUAGACUAUGUAUAAUAAACAAUUAAAAUUUAGCUAAAUGGGUUUAUGUUCAGUUCGGUAAGUUUCCAGUUCGGUUAAUUGACAACAUUAUUUGCAAAAUUUGAUUUAUGAUGAAAAAUAUAACACCAAAUUUAAAUUCAAUUUUUGAUAACUUGUCAAAUAAUCACAUUCUACGAUAAAUUGUGAUUAACACCAACAGAAAAAAUCAACUUUCCAAACUCUCCAAAACCUUCACUAUAUUAACUCAAUUUACCGAACUGGUUAUUGAUCAAAAUUACUGACAUCCAUUAAAAUCUAAAUCAACUGUGGCCCAGCAAACCUUAAGGAAUGACGAAAUAAUUGAUACCGUAAUGAACCGUACACUGUACACAAUACAUAUUCUAGAUCUAAUACUAAUGCAGUAUCUGUCAGUGUAAGGCUUAUAAGAUAAACUCUUUAUACCGACAGCAAUCUGGAAAGGCAAUCCUUUUUUAAGCAAAUAUUUCCACUGCCAGUGAUAACUGUCCGUUCCCAUUCUGUCGCUUCCUUAUCGUAACACUUUAGUUCUGCGUUUGUCUUAUCAACAUUAGCGCAACACGUCUAUUGGUUCCCUUUCAUCUUAAGUGUAAAGCCAUUUUUCGUAGUUGUUGGGUGUUCUCACGUUUUUAAGAAUUCCAUAUUUCUUAGGAAAUCAUCAAAUUGAAAUAAUACGUAAGCAGGACUAAACUACUGUAAAUUGGUAUUGAAGUUUUAACAUUUCAAUGACUCAUAAGUCAUUAAAAUCAUUCGUUUCUUUAUUUUAGAUGAGACAACCAUCGAAAUAUCGUCAAGUGGAACGUUUCAAUUUUACAAAAGAGGCAGUGGUAUAGCAAGCCUGCCAAGAAAAUGUGCACAACCUUAAGCAUGCCACUGACAAAAUCUUGAAAUUUAUUGAAUAAAGCUGCAGUGCAGAAAUAUUUAUGAGAAAUGAUAAACGUUUAUUGGAGCUUCUUGUUGAAUCAUGUUUAGUUGCUUGAUAUAAAUUUCACUCAGUGAUCAUUAAUUGUAACUUCUUUUAUCACAUGCUAUACCCCAUUUCCCAUUGAUUUUAACCAUUACAAACAUUUUUUAAUCUUACAUGUUUAAUAUACUUUUUAAGCGUUUUUGUUAUCUAAUUUUCGUUUCAUCGCAUUUUGUUAUUUUGCUGGAAUGACGUUGCAACGUCAAAUGAUGUCGCCAACUGUAAACAAAUUUCGGAAUUUAUCAUCACGUUUGCGUAAAAAAUGUUUAAUUUGCUCAUUUUUAAGCAUGUGAUAAGAAAGAUAUGUGACUAGUCAUUUCAUACUAUAUUUUAUUAAACUUGUCAGGGAAACUCGAAAGUAAGCUAGCUAUAUUGUUUCUUUCUAUCAGAAUUCUUGAACUCGUUUAUCUAAUUAAGUAUGUAAGGAAACUCCUGUCAUAUCCUUUAUAUAUUUUUUAUCAACUUUUGCAAACAAUAAUUCAAGCAACCUAAGAUAUAAAUGAAAUGACCCUUCCUGUAAACUUCUGAAUUAUCAAUUGUCUUUAUUUUAUUUAUUACUAGAAAACAACAGCAAAAACAACAUACAUAUACUACUUAGUAAGAACACGGCAAAAAAUAAAUGUACAUAUCCUUAUAAAUUAUAGGAGAAUAAGAUGUUUCCAAUUGUGGGGUGGAAUUGCUACCAGGGUUUGACAAGAUGCUGUGUCUUCACUGGUAUCAUGGAUUCCAUAUCAUAUCAGCAGAUUUUAAAAGACUGUCUAUUACCAUUUACAGCUAGAAGAUACCCAAACGGCUUCCGUCUGUACCAGGACAAUGAUGCUUUUAAACAACUGACUGGCUCAAAGACAACGGAGUUUCAACCAUGUCAAGAGCUCCUUCAAGUCCGGACCUAAACCCAAUUGAAAAUGUGUGGGCUACUUUGAUGGACCUCUUAAAACGGAAUGUCAAGCCAAAAACAUAGGUGGAAGUAGUCAAUGGAAUCUAUGACUUUUGGGGAUACCUGACAGCAGUUGGUUGUGCCAAAUAUAUUGAUCACAUUCAUAGGGUUUUAUCUCAUGUUGUUUUAAAUGAUGGUGGACCAACAAAAUUCUGACCAAAUCAGUGUUUUAAUUAUUCAUUAAAACAUAUACACCUUGGUUUAUUUUCAUAAUUAAUCAUAAAGAAACAACAUAAAUAGUGUUAACUUUCUGUAUGUGACUUUCAGUCUUUUAAUUUUUUUUUUCAUUUUUGCUUAGUUUUGAAGUGGCUAACAGCUUUAAUUUUCAGUAAAAACUGUUUUAUUUUGCUUUUCCCUACUCGCAAACUUGUUUAAGACAAAAAUGUCAUUGUUGUUUCUAGAUAUAAACAAUGCUUUUUAUUAAGUUGUUUUACAGCAUGCCAUUUUUGUUUUAUAGACGGAAAUGUUGAUCAAACAUAAUUUAAGUGUUGCAAGAAGCUAUAUUUUAUGGUCAUUUCAAAGUAUAUUUUUAUAUUUUCAAAAUAAAACACAAUGUAAUGUUAUAAUAAGUAAACACAGAUAAAACGUGUGUUUCCCAUAAAAUAAGAACUAGCGGUAGUUUAAAUGAAGCUAUUUUGGAACAGACUAUGUACAAUGCAAUUGAUAUAGCAACAUAUUUGACAAUGAUUAUAUCAUAAAUUAUAUUUAUUUACUCAUUUACAUUAUAUCAUUUUGGAAAUAUAUAUAAACGCAUGAAGUUUUAUCAAAUAUAUAAAUGUUAAGCAAGAAUUAUUUUAUCUGAAUGUUUAUGUUUAUCCCGUUUUCUAUAUGUUAAAUACUUAAGUCAAGAGGUCCAGAUAAGAUGCGUACUUGCGUAAAAUACUCAUGGACAAUUCCCAAAAGCGUCAUCAUAAAAAUUAGCAAACGCAUUUUGUGCAAUUAUCAGUUGGACCAACAGUGCCCAAAUUCGGAUAAUUUGAUCAGCCAUUUCAGAAUGAAUGUUAAUGUAAACAAGAGUAUAUGUUCUUUAUUUUAAGUAAACGAUUUCUGCAUGUUCAUGUAUACAAAAAUUAUAAAAUACAAAAUCAAAGUUUUUUGCGGGAGUAUUUUAAAUACUCCCGCAAAAUUUUUGACUUUGUAUUUUACUCAUCAGCUAAAAAGUCAUGAGCGAAAUACGCUUUAUCUUAAAAAAUUAUCUGGAGCUCUGACUUAAGUCCAUAUCUACUGCAGAACUAAUAAAGAUUAUAAAUUAGGUAAUUGUGUAUAGUAUGCAUCAUACUUCGCUCUUUAUGAGAGGCUCUUUGUUCCUGUUUGAUAAAGAUUUUUUUCUAUAAAACGGAAUAUUGUUUUUAUGUUGCUAAUGGAGGCAUAUAUUUGUUUAAUGUCUGUACGUUUGUCCACAUCGUUUGUCCGGGUAAUAUCUUCGUUAUUAAUAGAUGGCCUUCAAAUUAACAAUUGUAUAGCAAAGUAAGAGUGUCCCGCCAGACCCUGCAUCAAAGGCCGUGCGAAAAUCUUAGUUUACGACUAAAUGUGGUAACUUUACAAGCUUUUGAUAAAUAUCUACGCAAGAUAUAAGCCGUGGAUAGUACAAUAUAAUGAAAUGAAUAGAUUUACUCGAAAUUAGUAAUAAUAUGCUUGGUUGGUUUGCAAACAGUUUUUUUAAAUGUAUCGUAUUCUCAAUUUGAUCAACCGUCAACCAUCAAUAUCAAAUUUAAUCUUUCAAGGUUGUAUUUCGAGAUUGUGCAUUGAUUGACGUAUCCAGUCCAUAUUUUUGUCAUUUAUUGAUGGAUUUUAAAUGAGCAUUGCACAUAUUUAAAGCACAGUAUGACACAUGGUACACACAUGUGAAUAAAAUUAAGACAAAUUUUCAAAGUACGCCCCAGGUACCAAUUUCAAAUGGCAUAACACCAUCGUGGGCAUGUGUUAUCCUCUUAAGACAUUUAUACUUCUGAUUUAUUUGAAAUUUACAUGUGUAUCGCUUAAUGUUAACAUUCUAUCAUUUGUUUAAUACAUUAUACAAACGUUUUAGUGGUUUAUAUUGCAAUUAGAUAGUUGAGAAUAUUUACGUGUAACAGUUUACCGUUAUUAAUAUGCGUACAUAGUUAAUGCUCUAUUUCGUCUGUUUUGUUACAGUGGUGGUCUUAAAACUCGGUGCAACUGGAUUAAUUUUACCUUUUUAAUCAAACAUGUUAAUUAUCAAACCUAUUACUAUUAUCAAUACAUCUGCUUCAACAAAGGUGUCUGAAAACUCCAAGCCAUAAAUUACCAAAGAGGGUUUCGACUAAAUAGCCAUUAACUUAACCAUUACUCUUUUGCAGAUUUAAUCACAAGUUACAGUUUUAUUAUAACAAGCAAUCGGGAUACGAUCUUUAAUAAAUUACUGUACGUUUGUUAGAGAAUAUUUCACAAUGAUAUUUGUUUAAAUAUAUAUUGAAAGAAAAAAUAAAACUGUGUGUUAUCACUAUAAACAUAA